GGCUCUCUCUCCGGCGCAACGCCCGGCCGGUUCAGUCUUUUCCCGUCCGACCGUCUAUAAAACCCCGCGGGAGUGGAGGAUGGGAUCGGUUCCGUUCGGUCCCAAAGAGGGCUGUGGGCGGGGGGCGUCGGGGGUUGGGGCGGCUGAGGCUGGGCGAGGGAGGGAGGGCGAGCGAGCGGCGUCCAAAAUCGCUAGUCGGCAUCGAGAAAGUAGUUUCCAAAACACGUUUUAAUACGCUAGAAGUACCCGACUAAGUCAACGCUUGCGGCUCCUUAGCCGCGGGCGCUGACCACGACGAGGGCGGGGACAACGGUUAGUGGUCUUGAGCGCAGGGUGAGUGUCGAGAAUGCAGGGAGGAGUGGAGGCACCGCCACCGGCGAGUGGUCUCUUAGUUCACGGUCGACGACGAGGUUGUGGUCGACCGCGUAUGGGGAGUCCACGACACGUCGGAAGACCACCCAUGCGUCGACGACAACCACCAUGAGCGACCCGACGGGGAGGACCACGAGGAUCGCGACCGCAUCCGCAACAGGCGGUCCCACCACCACCUGCACCACGACAACCACCGCCACCACCGCCGACCUUGAGGGCGGGACCACCCACCCCCCUGGCGUCCCUGGCACUUGGUUUGGGAAAACCGCUAUCACUCGGCCGCCGACACCUACAACUGAAACUCUCAGUCGUCUUGUGCCCGUAGUUAAAACUGCGGAUACUCCUGUAAGGACACCUCUGUUCACCGGUGCUACACGGAGGUCGUCAGUUGUGCAAACGUCUCUAACUGAACCCACUACGUGACUUACUCUUAUAAGCCUCCACGUUCAUACACUCCGGGUGUGGACACGUCGCCGUACGGUAAGGCUAACAGUAACCUCCGUCCCUAGACUACCGGACGCGAGUCUGACCCAGACCCUUCUGUCGACGAAAAACAAAGGGCUAGUAGUCACCCUAGGAUUUCAGUUCCGGUGGUGUCUCCGGUUCUCGAUCCUGACGUAAAGGAGAACGAGACUAUAAUAGAGGAUGGGCGCUCGAUAGUCAGGUUUAAGUACUUCUUCGUUUCUUUAAACGUAUGGUCUGACCACAAUUCCGAACACAACGUAUACCACCUCGUGGUUAAGUAGUCGUCAACUCUCUUGACCUUUCUCCACAACUAUAUGAUCACCGUUGAGGACCAGCAAACUACCUAGACGACCUCUCUCGAUCUCAUAGUGACGUUUACCACUUAAUGAACCGAGAACUACUUCGACUGGCCUACGAGCUAUACCCCAAACUCGGUGUCUAUGCGUUCUAACAACUCGUCUACCUGUACGGGGGAGCACCACACUCUGUCUGGUACGACAAGUCACGAUGAAAAGGUUUCCUCUAUGUUGCGGACCGUAGUCUAAAGGAACGUCUGAUGUAGAAGGAACGACAACCUUCUCAACCGAGUUCAUGACUAAACUAACGUGUUUCCCAUCUCAAACAGGAACUUCGCCUAUUUUCUUCAAUGGAGUACCUGGAAUAAGUACGCGUCUUCCGAUUACUACAAGGACCUUUCUUAAGAGAAUGAAACCAGAAACACCUCUGUUUCUCUCCACGACUACGAGACCUCUUGACCGACAUAUGUUUACCCAAGGGACGUUGUUCAUAAGUACCUCUAGCAUGUGUUGUCCUUUCCCUCAUACGCGACUCUAGGAAGUUCUCACCUCGUUGAGGGUAGGACCAACGUUGACUGCAACGACGAGCACCCGAACUGUAUGGUCUACAGCGGGUGCAGUAGUUAAAACUAGACGGUUUACUGUAUCUACUGAUACAAGUGGCGUAACCCUCUUGACCAUCUCGACCCUUCAGACCAGACCGUUGACGUAAAAAGUUACUCCCGUUGUACAGUGACCGGUCCGGUAACACACUUGACUACGUCCUUCGGUUAGUCCUCCAAGGAGUCACCGACCUCGCGAUAAGACGGGCAAGGAGCAAACCUCCGCCGCCUCCUCCGUCUUUGGCGUCCAGUCCUCCGCCGCCGCCACGAGCUAAACCACCUGCACUGAAGGCAGCGCUGUGCUCCCCGCCGCCGCCACCUCCUCCACCACCGAUACCGCCGCCACCGCCACCGCCAAUGCCACCACCACCUCCAAUACCACCUCCGCGAAGAUCGAGCACCCUGACUACCCAAGUGGACCAUUACCACUCUUAACUUACUUUCACUACCUACCUACCAUAAGAUAACUGAAUCGACUUUUGUCUAUAACCCCAAACAUCAGUGGCACCACACCCAUACCACGGGAACGGGGGUAAAUGGAAUAAAACACGGACCAACAACAGUGGCGUGAACACAAAGGGGACAUGACCAAUAAAAGACUGACCGUAGUUUCAGGCCCACCCGAUUAAAGGACAACGACGACGACAUCAAAAACCUACUACAAAUGACAACCCACCCAACCAGACACCAGUAACAACGCGAAGACGAAGAAGUAAUCGUUAUCACUAACCUAGGAAAAGACGAGUUGACAAAUUAGCGAACGGACGCAGUACCUUACGGCUCUAACGAACGGAACACCUUAAGUCCUACCGAAGAAACCCAAGCUUUUAAAAUGAGGGAACCGAACUUUUAUGACACUGUGUGUUAACGUAAAGUGUUUAUUUUAACAAACUAAGUAUAAACACCAACACUAAUAUCGGACUGACGUACAUACCCAUGAGCGAUAUAUAAAGACCUUAUAGUUG
rnacentral:rRNA from 1 species